UACGUAGGGGGCAAGCGUUGUCCGGAUUUAUUGGGCGUAAAGAGCGUGUAGGCGGCCUGACAGGUCUGCUGUGAAAACUCGAGGCUCAACCUCGAGAUGUCGGCGGAAACCGUCUGGCUAGAGUCCGGAAGAGGAGAGCGGAAUUCCUGGUGUAGCGGUGGAAUGCGCAGAUAUCAGGAAGAACCACCCGUGGCGAAGGCGGCUCUCUGGGACGGUACUGACGCUGAGACGCGAAAGCGUGGGGAGCGAACAGG
rnacentral:rRNA from 1 species